UACGUAGGGUGCAAGCGUUAAUCGGAAUUACUGGGCGUAAAGCGUGCGCAGGCGGUUUUGUAAGUCUGAUGUGAAAUCCCCGGGCUCAACCUGGGAAUUGCAUUGGAGACUGCAAGGCUAGAAUCUGGCAGAGGGGGGUAGAAUUCCACGUGUAGCAGUGAAAUGCGUAGAGAUGUGGAGGAACACCGAUGGCGAAGGCAGCCCCCUGGGGUCAAGAUUGACGCUCAUGCACGAAA
rnacentral:rRNA from 1 species